AUAUACUCUCUGCUCAAACAUCCCACUUUCCUUCUGUUCAUGGGAUGACUGAGGUUCCUUCUCCCUCAGGUCUUUCUCCUUCCUUACAUUGUAUGAAACUUCAAUGCUCCUUGUCACUUGGCUUAGUGCCUUGACCCUACCCAAUGUUUUUGUCAAAUUUCAGCCAACCGCACACAUAACUUCAGAAAGAGGCUUGGGGUCAACUAAACCAGGCUGGGUGCAAAUAGAGGACACGUCUAAGGCUGUUCAGGUCCAGGCUUUAGAGGAGCACUGAUUCACACAGAAGAAUGGGGGACUUUUACACUCCCAGGGUUACUCACUUUCAUUGUGUUUUGCAGCAUUCACUGAAAACAACAAUUUAUGUUCUUUUUUCACUUGCAGGAUGGAAAUUAUCUGGUCCCACCCCUGGAUAUGAUCAACCUUCAUAGACUGUGCAUUAUACAUGUAGCCAUCUCUGCGACCUGCAAAGAUGAAAAGGGAAAGCAGGAGAUGGAAACUGGUCAGCAGCCUUCUGGUUUAUCAGCCACACUUACAAAGGUCAAAUGUGCAAAGCGUCAGAAGACAGUGGUUAGAGUGAGAUUCUACAUGCUCUCAAUGAAGAAUAAAGGUAAGUUCAAUAUUUCAUGAAACAAAAAGUUUUUUAAGUUAUUAUAAAGGAAUGUUUCCAUAGCUACU
rnacentral:lncRNA from 1 species